rnacentral:lncRNA from 1 species
GGCUGUUGGACUUCCUGAGCCAACGGUCAAAGUGGGGUCCCUACGUGUCGAACAUAUGCAUACACAACAGGCUCUCCUCAGGGAUGUUUUGUCCCACAUCCACCACCACACAGGGAUGUGUUUUGUCCCCACUCCACCACAGUCUCUCCUCAGGGAUGUGUUUUGUCCCCACUCCACCACCAACACAGGGAUGUGUUUUUGUCCCCACUCCACCACAGGCUCUCCUCAGGGAUGUGUUUUGUCCCCACUCCACCACAGGCUCUCCUCAGGGAUGUGUUUUGUCCCCACUCCACCACAGUCUCUCCUCAGGGAUGUGUUGUUCCCACUCCACCACCACCAACACGCCUCUCCUCAGGGAUGUGUUUGUGUCCCCACUCCACCACCAACACAGGGAUUGUGUUUGUCCCCACUCCACCACAGUCUCUCCUCAGGGUGUGUUUUGUCCCCACCCACACCAACCCGUCUCUCCUCAGGGA